AACGAACGCUGGCGGCAUGCCUAACACAUGCAAGUCGAACGAGACCUUCGGGUCUAGUGGCGCACGGGUGCGUAACGCGUGGGAACCUGCCUUUAGGUUCGGAAUAACUCAGAGAAAUUUGAGCUAAUACCGGAUAAUGUCUUCGGACCAAAAGAUUUAUCGCCUUUAGAUGGGCCCGCGUAAGAUUAGCUAGUUGGUGGAGUAAAGGCCUACCAAGGCGACGAUCUUUAGCUGGUCUGAGAGGAUGAUCAGCCACACUGGGACUGAGACACGGCCCAGACUCCUACGGGAGGCAGCAGUGGGGAAUAUUGGACAAUGGGCGAAAGCCUGAUCCAGCAAUGCCGCGUGAGUGAUGAAGGCCUUAGGGUUGUAAAGCUCUUUUACCCGAGAUGAUAAUGACAGUAUCGGGAGAAUAAGCUCCGGCUAACUCCGUGCCAGCAGCCGCGGUAAU
rnacentral:rRNA from 1 species